rnacentral:rRNA from 1 species
AAGAAGCAAGACCGUGAGGUGGAGGCAAAACUCAAAAACUUAGUCUCAGUUCGGAUUNUAGGCUGAAACUCGCCUACAUGAAGCUGGAGUUGCUAGUAAUCGCGAAUCAGCAUGUCGCGGUGAAUACGUUCCCGGGCCUUGUACACACCGCCCGUCACACCAUGAGAGUUGGCAAUACCCAACGUACGUGAUCUAACCCGCAAGGGAGGAAGCGUCCUAAGGUAGGGUCAGCGAUUGGGGUGAAGUCGUAACAAGGUAGC